rnacentral:rRNA from 1 species
GUGAAGCGGCAACAGCUCAAAUUUGAAAUCUGGCUCCUUCGGGGUCCGAGUUGUAAUUUGUAGAGGGUGUUUCGGGUGCGAUGCCGGUCUAAGUUCCUUGGAACAGGACGUCGUAGAGGGUGAGAAUCCCGUAUGCGACCGGCGAUCAAGCCCGUGCGAAGCCCCUUCGACGAGUCGAGUUGUUUGGGAAUGCAGCUCAAAAUGGGUGGUAAAUUUCAUCUAAAGCUAAAUACUGGCCAGAGACCGAUAGCGGACAAGUAGAGUGAUCGAAAGAUGAAAAGCACUUUGGAAAGAGAGUCAAACAGUACGUGAAAUUGUUGAAAGGGAAGCGCUUGCAAUCAGACCGGUCCGGAGGCGAUCAGCCGCUGCUCGUCAGCGGUGCACUCGCCUGCGAUCCGGCCAGCAUCGGUUUGGGCGGCGGGAUAAAAGUCCCGGGAAUGUAGCUUCCUCCGGGGAGUCUUAUAGCCCGGGUCGCAAUGCCGCCCGCCCGGACCGAGGACCGCGCUUCGGCUAGGAUGCUGGCGUAAUGGUUGCAAGCGACCCGUCUUGAAACACGGACCAAGGAGUCUAACAUCUAUGCGAGUGUUUGGGUGUCAAACCCAGGCGCGGAAUGAAAGUGAACGGAGGUGGGAACCCGUCAGACGGCGCACCAUCGACCGAUCCAGAUGUCUUCGGAUGGAUUUGAGUAUGAGCAUAGCUGUUGGGACCCGAAAGAUGGUGAACUAUGCCCGGAUAGGGUGAAGCCAGAGGAAACUCUGGUGGAGGCUCGCAGCGGUUCUGACGUGCAAAUCGAUCGUCAAAUCUAGGCAUAGGGGCGAAAGACCAAUCGAACCAUCUAGUAGCUGGUUCCUGUCGAAGUUUCCCUCAGGAUAGCAGUAACGUUUUCAGUUUUAUGAGGUAAAGCGAAUGAUUAGAGGCCUUGGGGCUGAAACAGCCUUAACCUAUUCUCAAACUUUAAAUAUGUAAGAAGUCCUUGUUACUUAGUUGAACGUGGACAUUUGAAUGUACCGUUACUAGUGGGCCAUUUUUGGUAAGCAGAACUGGCGAUGCGGGAUGAACCGAACGCGAGGUUAAGGUGCCGGAAUGCACGCUCAUCAGACACCACAAAAAGUGUCAAUUCAUCCAGACAGCCGGACGGUGGCCAUGGAAGUCGGAAUCCGCUAAGGAGUGUGUAACAACUCACCGGCCGAAUGAAUUGG